rnacentral:rRNA from 1 species
AACGAACGCUGGUGGCGUGUUUUAUACAUGCAAGUCGAGCGAGGACGGUAGCAAUACCGAGCCGAGCGGCGAACGGGUGAGUAACGCGUAAGCAAUCUGCCCCACAAUCGGGAACAACCGUGCCAACGCGCGGCUAAUGCCGGAUAUUGUAGUCUACUGCAUAGUAGGCCAACGAAAGAUUUAUUGUUGUGGGAUGAGCUUGCGUCCGAUUAGCUAGUUGGCGGGGUAAUAGCCCACCAAGGCGACGAUCGGUAGCCGGCCUGAGAGGGUGAUCGGCCACAUUGGGACUGAGAUACGGCCCAGACUCCUACGGGAGGCAGCAGUGGGGAAUAUUGCACAAUGGAGGAAACUCUGAUGCAGCGACGCCGCGUGAGUGAAGAAGGCCUUCGGUCGUAAACUUUAGUCCUAGGGACGGAUAAUGACGGUACCCUACGGAGGAAGCCCGGCGUAACUACGUGCCAGCAGCCGCGGUAACGAUACUCGUA